AGGAUAAACGCUGGCGGCGUGCCUAACACAUGCAAGUCGAACGCUCUCUGGCAACAGAGGGAGUGGCGGACGGGUGAGUAACACGUGGGUACCUACCCCAAGGUGAGGAAUACCGGCGAGAAAUCGCCGACAAUACCGCAUAGCUUUCGCAAGAAAGAAAGCUUCGUAAGAGGCGCCAUGGGAAGGGCCUGCGGCCGAUUAGCUAGUUGGUAAGGUAAAAGCUUACCAAGGCGACGAUCGGUAGCUGGUCUGAGAGGACGAUCAGCCACACUGGGAUUGAGAACGGCCCAGACUCCUACGGGGGGCAGCAGUGAGGAAUUUUCGUCAAUGGGGGCAACCCUGAACGAGCAACGCCGCGUGCAGGAAGAAGGUUUUCGGAUCGUAAACUGCUUUUCUCUGGGACGAGAACGGACGGUACCAGAGGAAUAAGCCCCGGCUAACUACGCGCCAGCAGCCGC
rnacentral:rRNA from 1 species